AGUGAACGCUGGCGGUAGGCCUAGCACAUGCAAGUCGAACGGCAGCACAGUAAGAGCUUGCUCUUACGGGUGGCGAGUGGCGGACGGGUGAGGAAUACAUCGGAAUCUACUUUUUCGUGGGGGAUAGCGUAGGGAAACUUACGCUAAUACCGCAUACGACCUACGGGUGAAAGCAGGGGAUCUUCGGACCUUGCGCGAUUGAAUGAGCCGAUGUCGGAUUAGCUAGUUGGCGGGGUAAAGGCCCACCAAGGCGACGAUCCGUAGCUGGUCUGAGAGGAUGAUCAGCCACACUGGAACUGAGACACGGUCCAGACUCCUACGGGAGGCAGUAGUGGGGAAUAUUGGACAAUGGGCGCAAGCCUGAUCCAGCCAUACCGCGUGGGUGAAGAAGGCCUUCGGGUUGUAAAGCCCUUUUGUUGGGAAAGAAAAGCAGCAGGUUAAUACCCCGCUGUUCUGACGGUACCCAAAGAAUAAGCACCGGCUAACUUCGUG
rnacentral:rRNA from 1 species